rnacentral:lncRNA from 1 species
GCUGUAUCAGGGGCUGAAGCUUUCUGGCCCAGUUCAAACAAUGUGGGAUGGUGAUGGGGAGGUCGGUCUCUGUUGGUACUGGUUCUCCUGAGAGAUUUGUAACACCAUACUUCAUGACCCAGGGUGAAGGAACUUCCUAUACUGUCCCCACUUCCAAGAAUGAAGACAGCCUUCUGGCCUAAAAACAUGGUGAGACAGGGCUGUUCCUCACUCUGAAAUGGGACAGAAGGAUCCAGGCCAAGGGAAGGGAGGGGAAACUUCUGCAUCACAUCUCUCCAUUCUGCAUCCCUGACCCCAUCAGAGAACACUACUGAGACAGGCCACGUCCCUCAGCUCUGAGCUUCUCAGACCACCCACUGGUAGCUGCUACCCCUGCAGCCUGCGGGCUCUGGGGACAGGACUGAGGGCCAGGCCACCAGCUAGGAGCCCAGGCCAGGGAGGGCACAGGCGGCUGCUGC